CUUAAAUAUCUGGAAGCAUCAAAUACUAUAUUUACACUAUAAUAAACUGAUUAUCAAAAUAACUGCAGAUCAAUUAAUCAGCAAAUGGUUGCAGCUCUGAACUGAUAUUGGUCAGGUAUUGGUCAGGUACUGGUCAGGUAUUGGUCAGGUAUUGGUCAGAUAUUGGUCAGGUAUUGGUCAGAUAUUGGUCAGGUAUUGGUCAGAUAUUGGUCAGAUAUUGGUCAGAUAUUGGUCAGGUACUGGUCAGGUACUGGUCAGGUACUGGUCAGGUAUUGGUCAGAUAUUGGUCAGGUACUGGUCAGGUAUUGGUCAGGUAUUGGUCAGGUACUGGUCAGGUAUUGGUCAGAUAUUGGUCAGGUAUUGGUCAGAUGGAGCCCCACACUAUGGAUGUCACAGCCUAAUGA